rnacentral:rRNA from 1 species
UGGGGAAUUUUGGACAAUGGGCGCAAGCCUGAUCCAGCCAUGCCGCGUGCGGGAAGAAGGCCUUCGGGUUGUAAACCGCUUUUGUCAGGGGAGAAAUCUUCUGAGUUAAUACCUCGGGAGGAUGACGGUACCUGAAGAAUAAGCACCGGCUAACUACGUGCCAGCAGCCGCGGUAAUACGUAGGGUGCAAGCGUUAAUCGGAAUUACUGGGCGUAAAGCGUGCGCAGGCGGUUUUGUAAGACAGAGGUGAAAUCCCCGGGCUCAACCUGGGAACUGCCUUUGUGACUGCAAGGCUUGAGUGCGGCAGAGGGGGGAUGGAAUUCCGCGUGUAGCAGUGAAAUGCGUAGAUAUGCGGAGGAGCACCGAUGGCGAAGGCAAUCCCCUGGGCCUGCACUGACGCUCAUGCACGAAAGCGUGGGGAGCAAACAGGAUUAGAUACCCUGGUAGUCCACGCCCUAAACGAUGUCAACUGGUUGUUGGGAAGGUUCCUUCUCAGUAACGUAGCUAACGCGUGAAGUUGACCGCCUGGGGAGUACGGCCGC